GCAUGCUAAGUCGCUUCAGUCGUGUCUGACUCUGUGCGACCUAUGGGCAGCAGCCCACCAGGCUCCUCUGUCCACAGGAGUCUCCAGACAAGAACAAUGGAGUGGGUUGCCAUUUCCUUCUCCGUUGGCCACCUCUGGUCCAGAGCAAAUUCAUAGUGAAAGAAGAACCACUACCACCCAGAGGAGAAGAGAACGAAGAAACUGCCUUCUUGGUCUCAAGCAGGUUGCAAACUCUCUAGGCCUGUUCCAAUAAGGGGUGAACGUCUGGCCUGGUUGGGUAAUUUGAAAAAAUUUGACUUGAUUUCUCCCCAGAUGGCGGUGCACCUAAGCCGCCCUCUUCAUAGGAAUUUGCAGAACUUUAGUCGGUGACUGGGAAAUUCCUUAGGAAACAAAGACCUGAUUGAGAAGAGGCAUUUUUUUGGCUGGAUUGUUAGAGCCCCAGCUUGGAGACACAGAUGCAGGAAGCUCUGAGUUGUGACUGAGGCACUUUAAAAAAAGGAGGAAGUUCAUUUAUUUAUUUUUUUAAAUGCAAGAAGCCAUGGGUUCGUUACAGAGCUUGUUUCUCAAGCAUUAAAACUUUAGUUGAUGAGAAGUGAAGUGUGUUAAGUAAGGAUUGGUUGCACGAACACAGGAAAGGGAGGGAGGGAGAUCUUGAGGGUGACGACAAGAUUUCUCGGGGUACCUUGAGGUCACAGGAAUUGGCAGGUGUUGCUGUGUCCUUUUGUGUGGUACAAUACAAAGAUACAAAGAAGUUCUAGUUCUUGAAUUCUGAAACCAGACUCUCGCCUUCCAACUCCAUUUUUGUAUGCUGAACACUUCAUUAUAAUGAUUAUUAUAAUUACUCUAUUACUCUAAUUAUAAUGAUCACUCUAUUAUAAUUUCAAUUUGUCAUUGCUCUUAGCUCUGUCAGGUUUUCAGUGGUACUAUAAACCGUAAUCUUUUAAAAUGUCCCUGUCUUGACUAGACACCAGAGAAGACACUAACCUUGCCUCAGCCAUUCUGGAAAAUCCAUCCAGACCUCUCCCACACAAGACCCAGGUGCCUGCUUCAUCCUCUUCAUCAGAAUUUGCAGAGCUUUUGUUUCUCAGCACCUACCAUAGAAGUAAACAAUCUGCAGAUAUUUAGUGACUGGAUAAGAAGUGAUUAGUAAUGCAAAAAGUAUGGAAAAAAUGAGGCUGCCACUCUGACUAGAUACAUUACACAGCUGCUACAAUAGAUAACCUCCUGAAUUUCAUUAAUAGCACAGUGUAUAUUUACUUAUCACUCAUGUAACUGAGAUAAUAGGUGUUUCUAGGUAGAACGUAGCUUUCUUCCACGUGGAAAUUCAGGGACAUAAGUUUCUUUUAUCUUGAGGCUGUGCUACCUCUAAGGUCUCCUUGUUGUUAUUGUUUUUUCAUGAACAGAGAAAGGCAAAGGUUUUUGUGAAGAUAUGUCUGAGCUUAGGUGGCCUCAACCUGCAGGGACUUGAAACAGGACUUUGGUUUCUGGCCAGAGAUUGAAGUCAGGCCAAGUGCUGAGUCCUGGCCAUUAGGAUUCA